GACGAACCGUGCGAACGUUGUUCGGAUUCACUGGGCUUAAAGGGCGCGUAGGCGGCUCGCCAAGUCGGGGGUGAAAUCUUUCGGCUCAACCGGAAAACAGCUUCCGAUACUGGCGGGCUCGAGUGGGGUAGGGGCGACUGGAACUUCCGGUGGAGCGGUGAAAUGCGUAGAUAUCGGAAGGAACGCCGGUGGCGAAGGCGGUCUGCUGGCAGUUCUGACACUGAUGCGCGACAGCGUGGGAGCAAACAGG
rnacentral:rRNA from 1 species